rnacentral:tRNA from 1 species
GCCGAAGUGGUGGAAAUGGCAGACGCGCUGCGUUCAGGGCGCAGUGGGGGUAACCCCAUGGGGGUUCAAAUCCCCCCUUCGGCA